rnacentral:misc_RNA from 1 species
AACGGUCUAUACCUGCGGUACCUGCGGAGGGAUCAUUAAAAAUGCUGGGCUCUCUCCCGUAAGGGGGGUUGCUCUAACUUUUUAUUCUGUGCACCGUUUAAUUUGGGGGGCUGAAUUCAUUUUCGGUCACCCGCCCUGGGUUGGUUCGCUGUCUCCUUUGGGGGACUGGUCGGCCGCCCAGACAAACUAUUAUACUAUUAUGACUGAACCAUAACAGAAAAUUGUUAACAUAUAAACAAC